AGUCCAUCACAAUAGGCACAUUGUCAAUUUAGGGAAGAAAGUUUAAAGGGAUAAACCAGACUCCUCAUCCUCGUCAAGGCUACCGGUGUACACAAAGUAAAGUGUCCAAAUCAAACCAAAGACGCCAAAAAGGAUCCACCCGAGAAGGUUGUUGCUUAGACCAAAGGGUAGCCCAGUUCCUUCUGUGCUCAUUCUUUCGUCUACUAGCGCCAUGGCAGCUGGGCUCGACAUGGUUGCAGCUACAGCUGCAGCCAUCAAUGAUGAUGCACCCAAACUCAAUUUGUGUGGAACAUCAUUGGAUGCGAGAGUUGGCUUUCCUUCCAUGGAGCACCUCACUUUUCCCAUCUUGCUCAUUGAUGGCAACCCUAAUCGAUAUUAACAGCUUUUAUUGGUCAGGUACUAAACUUGCAAUUUACCCUAAACUACAAGGACAGCUUGUGUAGUUUACUCUAUUUUCUAUUUUCUUGUCCCAAUAAGCAUUUUUUUAAUGUUCGACAAAAACUCGAAUCUUUUCAAGGAUUUUUAGAUUAUUAGGUGUCAAAUUAAUCGGAUUUGAACAAAACAAGUAAUAUGUUACUAUAACUCUAUAAGCUACCAAGCUCAAUGACAAUUUUUCUGAUAGUUCCAUAUCAUCAACCAAUUUGUUUCUUGGUAUUUCACCUCCAAUGUUAAUACCUACAUGUCUAUCAAUUUCAUAAUCACUUGUACACAAAUAGCAUCAGAUCUAAAACAUAACGAGAAUCAGAAACUAUGAGUGGUUAAUCAUUAAUGAUAGCUGAUAAGAUUCAUCAAUCUAUCACUUAUAAGACAAUUAAUUCACAAUUAGCAUUGGAUUCUAAUGGUGCUUGAUGAUAAAACUCACUGAAUUUAGAACGUACCGAGAAUGGGGGAACUGCGGGUAGUGAUUGAAGGUUUUUGGAGAAGAGAGAAUGAAGGUGAGGAGGUAGAAAUGGAAGCGGAAAUGGAUGCCAUCUUCGUAUUCUUCUUCUUCUCUUGAUUUGCAGGAACUUCAAGGUUCGGAAAUGGAGACCUCAAUUCAAAAAUUGAGGGUUUCAGUUUGUGUUUUUAUAUAAAAGUAUAUAUG
rnacentral:lncRNA from 1 species